CUUCAACUGAAAUAGAUGCAAGCAAAGUUAUAUUAGAGCAAUAAAGCAUCACUAUACAAACACUAAAUAAUUCUAGGAGAUAUUAACAGCAGCCUUUAGUAGCAUGAACUGAGCAGGAGCAAAGGGAAGUUUUGAAAGUUAAUGAUGAUUUCUAAGAACAGGCUAAGACUUGGAACCUCUGGAUGGAUAUUUUUCCAGUGAGCAGGCUUUUUAAGGAAAAUCUUAGAGGAAGCUCCAUCAAAACUUAUAAAAUCUUGGGAAGAGGAACUGUGGCCCAUCACUGAUCAUUUCAUCUAUUAAGUGACCACUUAUUGUCUUAUAAUAGGAGAUGUUCUGGAAACAUGCAUUGAAUCGAAGUGGCUUUGAGGAAGCAUGAAGAGAAAACAGGAUGGCAUCCUUUUGGCACCAUUUCUUAUGCUAUAAUAAGGAUUCCUUCUGUUUACACAUAAAACAGAAGAGUUUAAUCACCCCAGCAAUCUUUAACUUGGUAAUGAAGGCCAUAAAUUAAAUUUUAAGCAAAGUUAAAGAAGAUGAGAUGAAAUAUAAAACAAAAACAUCAUCAGAAUCUGCCCAGGAACAAUAUUCUUGACACCAAACCAUGACAUUAUGGGGCUCAGUUGUUUGUUUCUAGGGCAGCCCCUUGUUUUAUGUGCCAAAUAGCAUUUCCCUAAAUAAAACUGCAUGGAAC
rnacentral:lncRNA from 1 species